rnacentral:rRNA from 1 species
GACGAACGCUGGCGGCGUGCCUAACACAUGCAAGUCGAGCGAGUGAAUCUCCUUCGGGAGUGAAGCUAGCGGCGGACGGGUGAGUAACACGUGGGCAACCUGCCUCAUAGAGGGGAAUAGCCUUUCGAAAGGAAGAUUAAUACCGCAUAAGAUUGUAGCUUCGCAUGAAGUAGCAAUUAAAGGAGCAAUCCGCUAUGAGAUGGGCCCGCGGCGCAUUAGCUAGUUGGUGAGGUAACGGCUCACCAAGGCGACGAUGCGUAGCCGACCUGAGAGGGUGAUCGGCCACAUUGGGGCUGAGACACGGCCCAGACUCCUACGGGAGGCAGCAGUGGGGAAUAUUGCACAAUGGGGGAAACCCUGAUGCAGCAACGCCGCGUGAGUGAUGACGGCCUUCGGGUUGUAAAGCUCUGUCUUCAGGGACGAUAAUGACGGUACCUGAGGAGGAAGCCACGGCUAACUACGUGCCAGCAGCCGCCGCGG